rnacentral:rRNA from 1 species
CAGUAGCCGCGGGAAUACGGAGGUUGCAAGCGUUAAUCGGAAUUACUGGGCGUAAAGCGUGCGUAGGCGGUUCGUUAAGUCUGUUGUGAAAGCCCCGGGCUCAACCUGGGAAUGGCAAUGGAUACUGGCGAGCUAGAGUGUGUCAGAGGAUGGUGGAAUUCCCGGUGUAGUGGUGAAAUGCGUAGAGAUCGGGAGGAACAUCAGUGGCGAAGGCGGCCAUCUGGGACAACACUGACGCUGAGGCACGAAAGCGUGGGGAGCAAACAGGAUUAGAUACCCGCGUAGUCCCUGUCUCUUAUAC